UAUAUAUAUUAAAGAAAUAUUAUAUAAAUUAAGAAACAAAUAUACUUUUUUAUACAUAUAAAAACUUUUAUGGAAAGGGUUGUGAUUUGAGUUACUCAAUAGUAAUUUGCUGUAUAUAAACACUAUAGAUUACUAUAUUUUGUACCUAAGUAAUUGUCUGAUUGUAGAUGUCUCUAGGUUCGAUGUGCCUGCUGCAGGUGGCUGGUGAAGUGAGCCGUGAUCAACGCAAGGUUUCUUGCAGGCCCAUGUGGACAGGAGGAGCCGCUGCUGGCCUUCAGGACUGGAAAGUAUGCGCUCUGUGGCCGCAGUCCCACCUCUCAGCCUGGGAACGGAAGCAGGGAGUCGCAGGGGAAAACAAGCAGACAAUCAGUGCCCUGGGCUUUGCAAUGGAUAGCUUUCCCCCACCCUCCUGCUCCGAACGGCCACCCCCACCCCCAGCGCUGAAACCCGGCCAGCCCCAGCUGUCUGUCCAGAUGUGGGAGAGAAGGAGAGGCAAGGUCCAACAGGGGAUGAGGGCCUGAAACAGAAAAGGGCUCCAGAGAGAAUGGAGCAAAAAGAGAACCAAGACAGCGAGAGAGAGAGAGAGAGAGAGAAGAGGAAGAUGGAGAGAUGUCAAGGGGAAGUCUGAAUUUGUUCCCAGGGUCUUUAAGUAAAAGGUGGACGAGGAAUGGAAAGGUGUCACAAUGGCUUCCAAUUCAUCUCCGGAUGGUUCCAAAUGAGAGGAUCAAUGACACCAGACUGUGCCUUCUUUGAAAAGUCAGCGCAAUCAAGUCUGAUCUCAUGAUCUCAGUGGACUGGAACAUGGCCUAUCCCAGAGAGCGCAGACUUGGCAUAGUCGUAUCCAUAUAGUUGUUCCUGCUUGCCUGUGCAGGUCCUUCCAGGCCGGUCCUGAUUUAUGAACGGCCCCUGAGCUCUCACUCCAUCCUGGAGGGGCUCUCUGAUUAGAGAUGGAGAAGAGAGGUCUCUUCUAGUGCUCCUCCUCACCCUGGGUGUGACAGUCCAGCCUUUCAGACUGGAAACAAUGUGGAGCAGCACCUUCAUCAUGUAACGCAGCACCUCUGUGUCCCCUGCCAUAAUGACGCCUUCUCCCUGCGACCGCCAGCCUCUCUAGAGUGCAGUAAGGAAGGGGGAUCUGUAGCGCGCCUGUGGCCACGAGGACACUCCGCACUAGAAUACGGGGACAGGAAGUGACUCUGGAAUUCUCAGACGGCAGUGGUCUGAGGGAAAGGUUGACGUUUUCGGAAAGGCAACUAUGUCGUGAUGUACCAUCGACCGCGUGCAGAACACGUUUACGUUGUUCCAGCUAAUGGAUUUUUAUAAAUAGGUCACGGAUGAGUCACUUGCAUCAGUACUUCAGGAUAGACGUCUGCUUACUUCCUGGUGCCACACAGAGGGCAUCGCUGCUCAAGAGCCCCCUAGAUAGCGGGCUAAACUUAAGCAGGGCCCAUCCUGUUUUGGGAUUCUGCUGUAACCUUGAGCGUUUCGACUUUCCUGCAUCUCUCCAAAACAGUCAGCUGUUAUCAUUCCAGCGUCAUGUUCGUACCCCACACCAUGAUGCUAGCCGGUCGCUCUGAUACUUUACGCCACAUCUGUUUGUGUCUGAGGGAGACGUUCUUGACUGUAUAAUGUGUGCGUUCUCGUCCAUCUUACUGAUGGCUGCGUUCCAACACUCAGCUUUAGCCAGUGAGGGCUUUCUUGGUUUCACAUCCCUCUUCAGCCAAACACAAACACACACGUCCGGCCAGCCUGACCCGAGCUAUCUCUCCGCCUGCGAGUGCCAGACGCACACACAUACACACACGCCCUGGACCCUCCUGCUCUUCCCACGUUCCUCCUCUCCCUCUCUCCUCUGUUCUUCUCUCUCUUCUCUGCUUGCGUUUCCUUCUCUCCCUUCCUCUGCCUCAGCACCCUUGUACAUCUCAUUGUCUCUGGUCUCUUCAUCUUUCUCCACUUCCUGUGUCUUGCACCCUGUGCCCUCUCACGCCCCGUCUUUCAAGCUCCCCCUGUUUCUCUCCACAUCUCUCUCUCUUCGCGACGUGACUUUUAGCACAGACAUUGGGCCUGUUGCCAGUAAUCUGGGGCAGAGAGAUGAGCGGACAAACACACACACAUACACUGACACAUGCAGAUAUAAUAGGGCACACUCUAAUGUCUCUUCCAUAAACACUCGUUAGAUAUUUCACAUCAACUAACAAGAGUACUAAGAUUUACAGUCUUUAAGGAAUAUUUUAAAUUAGACUUCAUUGGCAGGGUCUGUGGACUACUGUUGGUAAAAACUGAAAAUUGUUAACAAUAACACUCCAUGAAAACAAGCGUUAUGGUUAUACAUUUGCAACAACCAUGGCCAUUGUAGACAUGUUUUACAAACUGAGGGAUGAGUCAACUUUUCUUUUUUUUUUUUUGUAUAAUUGACAGCAGAGCACAUAUUUUACCCCAGAAUACUCCCUUAGUGUGCAUUUAUAUUAUAUGUUUAGUGUUAUUUGACUGCUUUAUAUGUAUAUGUAUAAAAAUAAAAAUGUAUAAAUGGGUAGUUGACUUAUCAAUGGUGGGACGGAAAAAUGUAAAAAAAAAUAAAUAAUAAUAAUAAAAUAAAAUAACCUCUACCAUUGAAGAUAAACCUCUCUCAUGCUAUUAGUAACUCUAAGAAUGAAGAUACAUUUUUCUCAUGUUAUUUGUAUGUUAAGUUUUUUUUUUCUACAUUUUUGCUAUGUCACACCAUAGGACACAGUCCAAUUUUUAUUUGUCAACUACCCAUACAGUAUGUAUAAUAUAUGUAAAUAUUGCAAGUUACAUAUGUAUAUAUAUUAAAUGUGCAUAAUAUUAAAAUAAAUAUUGAAUAUGUGUGAUGUAUGACUGUAUAACGUAUACAUUUUGAAUACUUUUUGACUGUUUAAAAAAUAAAAAUUUAAUUAAAUUUAGAUAUUCAAUGUAUAAAAUACACACAGGCAUAUGCAUAUAUGUAGAAAUAUGUUAUAUAUAUAUGUUUUAUCAGUAUCUGAAUCAAAUGAUUGCUA